AGCUUUGUGCAGUGGCAGCAUCAUAGCCAAUGAGGUUUAUCUGAGGCGUGAUUAUUGCUAAUUGAAAAAAUAACUGGUACAUCCUUCAACAUGGAUGAAUCCUGAAAACAGUAUGCUUUG
ensembl:snRNA U4 U4 spliceosomal RNA